ACUUAGUUUUGAUUUAAUUGUGCACGUGUUUUGACUGUUUUUGUGUAUUUUUGUCCUAAAAUAUCUUUAAAUGUAAUUUUUUCACUAAAAAAAGUGAAAUUUUUUCUCAAAAAUUUUUUUUCUUUAAAUUUUUUUCAUCAUGAGCGUUCAAGAGCCUGAAAAACUCCUUAAAUGUCCUUACAAUCCAUGUCAUCAAAUCCGAGUUUCACGCUUCCAACGUCACAUUUACAAGUGUGCUCGCCAACAUCCGCAUAUUGAAUUAGAGCAAUGCCCUUACGAUAUUUCCCAUUUUUUGGACCCGCAUGAGAUGAAGCUUCAUAAGCAAACUUGUCCUGAAAAAUGGAAAUUUGACAAAUAUUUGCUCGAAUUUCGUCCUUCUACGAGCGACAACAAGGAAAAUUUUCCAAAAGUCAAACUUCCCGAGGUCAAAUAUGAGGAGAGUUGGGAUCAUUACAACGUCAAAACGUACGAUCCGGAAGAACAUUGCACGGAAAAUCCAAUAAUUCGUUCGUGUCACGGAAAAACUAAGAAGGAACGUCGCGAGUUUUAUGAAAAGGAGAAUGAACGCAUCACGGAAAUCGAGAAAACUCUUCCUCGUUAAUGUUUGAAAAGACAAAAAAUGUCUUUAAAAUGAUUUUUUUGACUGUCUAAAUUUUUUUUUGUUCUAAAAAUAUGAUUUAAAAUGAAAAAUUGCCUUGAAGGCAUGAAAAUUUAACGUAAAAUAAUAAAAACUUGAACUUGAAAAUGAUUUUUUGUUAAAUUUUUAUAGUAAAAAAUUAAUUGAGGCACGAAACAAUGCCCAUUGUCAAUUUUUUUGAUAAAAUUUCAUUGACUUUGAAUUAAAUUUAUUAAUUUUCUCGCAUUUAACUUUCGAUUUUCAACUAAAACGGUCAUGAAAAUAAUUUUUCUUUUGUUUGUCGUUGGUUUGUCAACGGCUCAAGCACAAUUCGCGACGACAUUUUUCAAUCCAACUUCAACGAGUACCUCCAUCAACUCCGAUGUCGAUCCCGAUAUUUUUACGACAUUUUUUGACGUUACGACAUGCGAUGAGCAAACAGACUUGGCUUUAGGAGAUAUUUUGAUGACAAUGUUCUCGACAGCAGCAAUGAAUGGCGAUCCAAACACGGGAAAUCUAGGAAUUAAUCCCGGAGGCACUUUUUAUAACACGGCAACUGGAGGAAAUAACCAAGGAGGAGUUUUGUACAAUACCGCGAACCCCUACUCGGGAUAUGGUUUGGGAAAUUUCGCUUUUCCGCAGGUAAAUUUACUACAAGGACGUCUCGGAUACAGCAAUAACGGGUAUCAAGGUCAAGUUCAGAACAGAAAUUAUAGAGGAAAUUACGGAAAAAAUUACGAUUACUACGGAUUUGGAAGCGGCGUGAUGUUUAAUCAGCCUGGAAGGAGAGUUGGAUCGAGUGUUUCGAAUAAUUUUAAGCCGAAUGCUCCGUUUUAUUGGUAUUUUGCUUGAAAUUGUUGAUUUUUUCU